UCAAAAUUAGGAUAAUGCAAUAAAUUAGGUUUGUGUUACCUAUUUGAUUUUGGUGUCCUAUUUGGGUUUGGUUUUGACUUUUUAGUUAGUUUCCUUGGUGGAGAGAUUUUGUUAAUUACCUAUUUGAUUAGGAUUUAGAUUUAUUUCCUAUUAGGAUUCAUAUUGUAACCUAAGUCCUAUGCACUAUAAAUAGGACCUUAGGGUUAGUGUAUUUUGUGUGCCUCAUCAUGGUUUAGAGAGCUUUUCUCUAUUUUGGUUUUGGGUGGAGGUCACUGUUUGGAGUCAUGAGUGUGUGGCAAAUUUGUGGCUCAUUCGUUUGGCAAAUUUGGUGAGAGUCAAUUUGUGAGUUUGUGAGUUAGAGAGCAAUUUGGGAGAAUCUACUCCGUUUGUUUGAGUUCUCUACUCAUUUGGUUAAGGGUUUGUAAUUUGUGGGAUUUGGGUUGUGAGAGUUUAACACUCUUUUGUAAUCUCCGUUUGUUUAGUGAAAUUCCUCACCAUGCUUGGCCCGUGGAGUAGGCUUUACGCCAAACCACGUAAAUCUCUUGUCUUAGUUUGAGAUUGUUUGUUUUAGCUUUCACCUACGACGUUGAUAUUUGGUACUUUGUUAUAAUUCGCUUCUGUUUGCACAUAAAAGUAUAACAAGUGGUAUCAGAGCCCAGGUUUUGGCUUGGGUUUUGCUUGGUAGUCAUUAUGAAGCCUUCUGUGUCAUCAGUGAAAGUUGAUAUUGAAAAGUUUGACGGCAAUGACUUCGGUAUUUGGCAAUUGAAGAUGUGUGCUUUGUUAGUUCAACAAGGACUUUUGAAAAUGCUAAAGGGUGUGAAGGCUUUGCCGGAUUCGUGGACUGAUGAAGAAAAAGCAGACGUUAUGGAACGGGCACUUGGAGCAAUCCUGCUGACUUUAUCAAAUGAAGUCUUGCGUGAAGUUGGUAGCAUCAAAUCUGCACCGGAGUUGUGGAUAAAAUUGGAGAGCUUGUAUAUGACCAAAUCCCUUGCUAAACGGUUGUAUUUGAAGAAAAUUUUGCAUACUCUUCGUAUGGAUGAAGGUACGUCAAUUCAUAAGCAUGUUGAUGAAUUCAAUAAACUUAUGAUGGAUUUGAAAAGUGUGGACAACCAAAUUAGUGAUGAGGAUUAUGCGACAACUUUGUUGUGUUCUUUAUCUCCUUCGUAUGAACACUUUGUCGAUACCAUGCUAUUUGGUAGAGAAAGUCUUAGUUUGGAAGAUGUUAAAGUCGUUUUGAAUUCUAAAGAGCUGAAGAAUAAAGUGUCUGACACACAAGAUGGAGCUUUGGUAGUUCAAGGAAGGAAUAAGGAAAUGAGCAAACUUGGAAUGAACACUUGUAGCUAUUGUUAUAAGGAAGGUCAUUGGAAAGUAGAUUGCCCUAAACUCAAGGGCAAAAAGAAGUUGUUUGAUAAGUCUUUUGCUAGUGUUGAUGCAAACAUUGCAGAAGAUCGUUGUUCUGAACUCCUCUAAAGGUUAUGUGAAGAGGUGGAGCUUGGUACUCAAGCUCUUUGGGUGGAGUGCAAUUUGCACUUUUUGUUCGUAUGUUCAAGCUUUUGCUUGGAUUUUGUUUCGUAUUUGUUAGUUUCCAUAAUGGAAUUUGUUGGAGAAGGCGUUUGAGGAAAUUUCAAGUUUGAAGACUUUUGGAUUUUUUGAGUCUAGGUGGAGAUCAGUUUCGAAAGAAUUUGGUGAACGUUUGCGUUUGUAUUUUGGUAUCCCAAAUUUGGAAGUUUGCUAAUUUCUCGCCGAGGUGGAGAUUGUUGGGUUUUUGGCUCAAAAUUAGGAUGAUGCAAUAAAUUAGGUUUGUGUUACCUAUUUGGUUUUGGUGUCCUAUUUGGGUUUGGUUUUGACUUUUUAGUUAGUUUCCUUGGUAGAGAGAUUUUGUUAAUUACCUAUUUGAUUAGGAUUUAGAUUUAUUUCCUAUUAGGAUUCAUAUUGUAACCUAAGUCCUAUGCACUAUAAAUAGUACCUUAGGGUUAGUGUAUUUUGUGUGCCUCAUCAUGGUUUAGAAAGCUUUUCUCUAUUUUGGUUUUGGGUGGAGGUCACCGUUUGGAGUCAUGAGUGUGUGGCAAAUU
rnacentral:lncRNA from 1 species